rnacentral:rRNA from 1 species
GUGCACCAGGCGCGAAACCUCCGCAAUGCGCGAAAGCGUGACGGGGCCACCCCGAGUGCCAUCCGCUAAGGACGGCUUUUACCCAGUGUAAUAAGCUGGGGGAAUAAGGGGAGGGCAAGUCUGGUGUCAGCCGCCGCGGUAAUACCAGCUCCCCGAGUGGUAGGGACGAUUAUUUGGCUUAAAGCGUCCGUAGCUGGCUUAGCAAGUCUUCGGUUAAAUCCGACGAUGCAAUCGCCGGGCCGCCGGAGAUACUGCUAGGCUAGGGGGCGGGAGAGGCCGGCGGUAGUCUCGGGGUAGGGGUGAAAUCCUAUAAUCCCGGGAGGACCACCAGUGGCGAAGGCGGUCGGCUAGAACGCGCCUGACAGUGAGGGACGAAAGCUGGGGGAGCGAACCGGAUUAGAUACCCGGGUAGUCC